UUCUCCAGAACCUUUCCUUUUAACAAUUCUCCGCAGAAACCCUAAUGGACGCCACCAUCAUCUCUCUCACCCCUCUUCUGAGAAACCCUAAUGGAGGAAUCCAUCAUCUCUUUCACUAUUUCCCCAUGAAUAGAAGAGGGCGGUAGUGCUGUCGCUUAAGCAUUGCAUCUCUCAAACGAUUUGUGGUUGCAGGGGAAACAGGAACAAAGGCUCCGAUAAAGUUGUGGUUCAUAACAAUAGCUGGUAAAGAUGUGGUGUGUAUAAGAUCAUUUCGGUUGACUUAGAAGGCUUAUAAGAUAGAGUACAAGACAAUUGAGAGUGUGUUGAAGACUAUAAAUCCUCACACUAGAGAGGUUCGUUAAUGAUCCAUUAACACUCUGCUUUCUUCAAUAAAUUUACUUAUUC
rnacentral:lncRNA from 1 species